rnacentral:rRNA from 1 species
AGCUCCAAUAGCGUAUAUUCAUGUUGUUGCAGUUAAAAAGCUCGUAGUUGAACAUAAGGCGCGGCGGUGUGGUGCGCUUCGGCGCUACUGUGCCGCUAUAGCGCCUAGAGUGCGUGGCGCAGUGCUUCGGUGCUGUGAGCCCGCGGGUUACUGUGAGGAAAUUAGAGUGUUUAAAGCAGGCGUUUGCUUGAAUACUGCAGCAUGGAAUAACGAGUAGGACUCCGGUUCUGCUUUGUUGGUUUGAGGGCCAGAGUAAUGGUUAAUAGGAACAGUUGGGGGCAUUAGUAUUCAGUAGUCAGAGGUGAAAUUCUUGGAUUUACUGAAGACUGACUAGUGCGAAAGCAUUUGCCAAGGAUGUUUCCA